CUGGCUCUAGAGGCAUUGUAAGUGUCCCUGCUCUGUCACAUGUGUGUCAGUAGGUGGCCAAGAAGAGAAAGUCUACGACUGUUUAGUGUUCUGAUUUAUGAACAUUUAAACAAUUAGUAGCCUAGCAUU